rnacentral:rRNA from 1 species
CAACCUGCCGAUAANUCGGGGAUAGCCUUUCGAAAGAAAGAUUAAUACCCGAUGGUAUNAUAAAACCGCAUGGUUUAAUUAUUAAAGAAUUUCGGUUAUCGAUGGGGAUGCGUUCCAUUAGGCAGUUGGUGAGGUAACGGCUCACCAAACCUUNGAUGGAUAGGGGUUCUGAGAGGAAGGUCCCCCACAUUGGAACUGAGACACGGUCCAAACUCCUACGGGAGGCAGCAGUGAGGAAUAUUGGUCAAUGGACGGGAGUNUGAACCAGCCAAGUAGCGNGAAGGAUGACUGCCCUAUGGGUUGUAAACUUCUUUUAUAUGGGAAUAAAGUGAUCCACGUGUGGAUUUUNGUAUGUACCAUAUGAAUAAGGAUCGGCUAACUCCGUGCCAGCAGCCGCGGUAAUACGGAGGGUCCGAGCGUUAUCCGGAUUUAUUGGGUUUAAAGGGAGCGUAGGUGGACAGUUAAGUCAGUUGUGAAAGUUUGCGGCUCAACCGUAAAAUUGCAGUUGAUACUGGCUGUCUU